CAAGCUUCUACUACUCUUGAUUUCUUCUUUUGUAUGUAGUAUCUUGAGAUUGAUUUUGAACUACAAGCAGAUCUUGCCUCUGCUACUUAUAUGUUGAUGCUAGUGAUGAUUUGUUCAACGUGUAAUGAAUAUCCAGUGAUGCAUGGUGAAAGGAAGGACAUUAUAAAAGUUGUUGCAUGAACGCGUCGUGACAGAGUUGAGCAAGCUUCUCCUUCUCUUGAAUUUCUGGUGUAUGCAGUAUCUCGAGAUUGUUGUGACAAAAUGUUGAGCAAGCUUAUCCUUGUAUACAGUAUCUCUCUGGACCACAAGUUGAUGUUGAUCCCCCAGCUACUUACAUGUAUUAUGAUUUUAGUGAUGAUUUGUUCAAAUUGUAAUGUUAUUUUAGUCAAAGAAGUAGAAGGUAUCCGGUGAUGCGUUGUUAAAGGAAAUUUAUACAGUAAUGUACUUGAUAACUUUCUGAUGCAUUUGGUUUUAGAAUAUUUCUGCUAAUUAACUCUAAAUUGCUUUA